rnacentral:rRNA from 1 species
UACGAAGGGGGCUAGCGUUGCUCGGAAUCACUGGGCGUAAAGGGCGCGUAGGCGGCCAUUCAAGUCGGAGGUGAAAGCCCAGGGCUCAACCCUGGAAUUGCCUUCGAUACUGUCUGGCUAGAGACCGGAAGAGGUAAGUGGAACUGCGAGUGUAGAGGUGAAAUUCGUAGAUAUUCGCAAGAACACCAGUGGCGAAGGCGGCUUACUGGUCCGGUUCUUACGCUGAGGCGCGAAAGCGUGGGGAGCAAACAGG